rnacentral:rRNA from 1 species
GACGAACGCUGGCGGCGUGCCUAAUACAUGCAAGUCGAACGCUUUUUCUUUCACCGGAGCUUGCUCCACCGAAAGAAAAAGAGUGGCGAACGGGUGAGUAACACGUGGGUAACCUGCCCAACAGAAGGGGAUAACACUUGGAAACAGAUGCUAAUACCGUAUAACACUAUUUUCCGCAUGGAAGAAAGUUGAAAGGCGCUUUUGCGUCACUGAUGGAUGGACCCGCGGUGCAUUAGCUAGUUGGUGAGGUAACGGCUCACCAAGGCAACGAUGCAUAGCCGACCUGAGAGGGUGAUCGGCCACACUGGGACUGAAACACGGCCCAGACUCCUACGGGAGGCAGCAGUAGGGAAUCUUCGGCAAUGGACGAAAGUCUGACCGAGCAACGCCGCGUGAGUGAAGAAGGUUUUCGGAUCGUAAAACUCUGUUGUUAGAGAAGAACAAGGAUGAGAGUAAAACGUUCAUCCCUUGACGGUAUCUAACCAGAAAGCCACGGCUAACUACGUGCCAGCCGCCGCCGUAA